rnacentral:rRNA from 1 species
UACGAACCGUGCGAACGUUGUUCGGAAUCACUGGGCUUAAAGGGCGCGUAGGCGGCUUGCCAAGUCCGGGGUGAAAUCCUCCAGCUUAACUGGAGAAGUGCCUUGGAUACUGGCGAGCUCGAGGGAGGCAGGGGUUGUGGGAACUUCCGGUGGAGCGGUGAAAUGCGUUGAUAUCGGAAGGAACGCCGGUGGCGAAAGCGCACAACUGGUCCUCUUCUGACGCUGAGGCGCGAAAGCCAGGGGAGCAAACGGG